GAUGAACGCUGGCGGCGUGCCUAAUACAUGCAAGUCGAGCGAACAGACGAGGAGCUUGCUCCUCUGACGUUAGCGGCGGACGGGUGAGUAACACGUGGAUAACCUACUUAUAAGACUGGGAUAACUUCGGGAAACCGGAGCUAAUACCGGAUAAUAUAUUGAACCGCAUGGUUCAAUAGUGAAAGACGGUUUUGCUGUCACUUAUCGAUGGAUCCGCGCCGCAUUAGCUAGUUGGUAAGGUAACGGCUUACCAAGGCAACGAUGCGUAGCCGACCUGAGAGGGUGAUCGGCCACACUGGAACUGAGACACGGUCCAGACUCCUACGGGAGGCAGCAGUAGGGAAUCUUCCGCAAUGGGCGAAAGCUUGACGGAGCAACGCCGCGUGAGUGAUGAAGGUCUUCGGAUCGUAAAACUCUGUUAUUAGGGAAGAACAAAUGUGUAAGUAACUAUGCACGUCUUGACGGUACCUAAUCAGAAAGCCACGGCUAACUACGUG
rnacentral:rRNA from 1 species